CCUCCGCUCGAUUGGUUCUACUGUGGGUCUGGACUGGUCUCCAUGUCCUGUUGUGGGGCUUUUCCAGCCUUUGGAUUGUGAAAACUGCUGAGAGAGACUUGCAAUCCAGUCACAUAAGUAUAAUAAAGAAAUAUUGGUCCUCAUGGAAGAAGAGCAAGAUUUACCAGAGCAACCAGUGAAAAAAGCCAAGAUGCAGGAAUCAGGAGAGCAAACUAUAAGUCAAGUAAGCAAUCCAGAUGUCAGUGAUCAGAAGCCUGAAACAUCAAGCCUUGCUUCAAACCUUCCCAUGUCAGAGGAAAUUAUGACAUGCACCGAUUACAUCCCUCGCUCAUCCAAUGAUUAUACCUCACAAAUGUAUUCUGCAAAACCUUAUGCACAUAUUCUCUCAGUUCCUGUUUCGGAAACUGCUUACCCUGGACAGACUCAAUACCAGACACUACAGCAGACUCAACCCUAUGCUGUCUACCCUCAGGCAACCCAAACGUAUGGACUACCUCCUUUUGGUGCAUUGUGGCCAGGUAUGAAACCUGAAAGUGGUUUAAUUCAGACUCCAUCUCCAAGUCAACACAGUGUUCUUACCUGCACUACAGGGUUAACCACAAGCCAGCCAAGCCCAGCACAUUAUUCUUAUCCCAUUCAAGCUUCAAGCACAAAUGCCAGCCUGAUAUCUACUUCUUCUACAAUUGCCAAUAUUCCAGCAGCAGCAGUAGCCAGCAUCUCAAACCAGGAUUAUCCCACCUAUACUAUUCUUGGUCAGAAUCAGUACCAGGCCUGCUACCCCAGCUCCAGCUUUGGAGUCACAGGUCAGACUAACAGUGAUGCAGAGAGCACCACAUUAGCAGCAACCACAUACCAGUCGGAGAAGCCUAGUGUCAUGGCGCCUGCACCUGCAGCACAGAGACUUUCCUCUGGAGACCCUUCUACAAGCCCAUCUUUGUCCCAGACUACACCAAGUAAAGAUACUGAUGAUCAGUCCAGGAAAAACAUGACUAGCAAGAACCGGGGCAAGAGGAAAGCUGAUGCCACUUCUUCCCAAGACAGUGAAUUAGAACGAGUAUUUCUGUGGGACUUGGAUGAAACCAUCAUCAUCUUCCACUCACUUCUUACUGGAUCCUAUGCCCAGAAAUAUGGAAAGGACCCAACAGUAGUGAUUGGCUCAGGUUUAACAAUGGAAGAAAUGAUUUUUGAAGUGGCUGAUACUCAUCUAUUUUUCAAUGACUUAGAGACAUAGUCCUCACUCAGGAACUGAAAGUUCUGUGAAGAAUUUGACCUGAAUGUGUUCCUGCCCCCCAGGAGUGUGACCAGGUACAUGUGGAAGAUGUGGCUUCUGAUGACAAUGGCCAAGACUUGAGCAACUACAGUUUCUCAACAGAUGGUUUCAGUGGCUCAGGAGGUAGUGGCAGCCAUGGUUCAUCUGUGGGAGUUCAGGGAGGUGUGGACUGGAUGAGGAAACUAGCUUUCCGCUACCGGAAAGUGAGAGAAAUCUAUGAUAAGCAUAAAAGCAACGUGGGUGGUCUCCUCAGUCCCCAGAGGAAGGAAGCACUGCAGAGAUUAAGAGCAGAAAUUGAAGUUUUAACAGAUUCCUGGUUAGGAACUGCAUUAAAGUCCUUACUUCUCAUCCAGUCCAGAAAGAAUUGUGUGAAUGUUCUGAUCACUACCACCCAGCUGGUUCCAGCCCUGGCCAAGGUUCUCCUAUAUGGACUAGGAGAAAUAUUUCCUAUUGAGAACAUCUAUAGUGCUACCAAAAUUGGUAUGGUUUCUAUGCUGUUUCUUGUCACUGGCCUUGCAAUAAAACUUUCUACUCAU
rnacentral:sRNA from 1 species